CGGUGAUAAGGACAAUUAAUCAGUUUUCAUGCAGCUGCUUCCUGACAUUUCUGCAAAUUGUUGUGGAAAAAUUAAUGAAGGUUAGAUCAGUAAUGGUUUCAAGCUUGGCCAGUGGAAAGUAUGACAGUGUUUCCAUCAGCAAUUAAGCUGGGCUGCUUUCUUUUUUCUAUAGGGGAAGUGGUAUGAUGUGUGUUCUCCACAGGAAAUGGAAAACGGCAGCUGAACUCUCUGAGCACAGGUAUGGAGGAGCUCUCCAUGGCUGCUCCACCAGGCGCUCCUUGGUGGGCAUGACCAACCCAUUUGCAUUUUCUGCAGAAACGCUUUAGUUCUGCCAUUCCUGAAAACAGAGAGUCGGGAUUUGGGGAUUUUCUUGAGCUGCCACUUCAAAAACCCAGAUAGACUCUGUAUCUAAACUUUGGGAACCAGAAAGUGGAACUUAUGACAAACAGAAAGUGAAACUCACCUAUCUAAUUUUAUUUUUCAAGCCAAAGGUACUUCAGUAUGAGCCCAGUUCACAUCCUGUGUAACCCUAUGGGAUUUUCCCCAGUAUUAGUUAAAAAAUUUCCCAUAGGGUCACACAGGAUGUGAAUUAGAGUAAACACUUAACAAACAUGAUGAAAAGGAAAUUAGCUUUCUCAAUGAUCCUUUCACUGUUAACAUCCUGAGUAGCUAUUAGAAACAUGGGCAAGGGUGGCUUCAUGUCUCAUUUUCAAGUUGUUACAUUAUUAAUAAACUGUAUUAAUAUUCUACUAUAUGUGAAAUGCAUUUCUUAAUAUAUGAAACUAGAUUUUACCUAUAUAUUUUCCUCUUUGGAAAACAUUAAAAAGCCUUGCAAAAUGCUCUAUGAAUCUGA
rnacentral:lncRNA from 1 species